CAAAACUCAAAAACUUAGUCUCAGUUCGGAUUGUAGGCUGAAACUCGCCUACAUGAAGCUGGAGUUGCUAGUAAUCGCGAAUCAGCAUGUCGCGGUGAAUACGUUCCCGGGCCUUGUACACACCGCCCGUCACACCAUGAGAGUUGGCAAUACCCAACGUACGUGAUCUAACCCGCAAGGGAGGAAGCGUCCUAAGGUAGGGUCAGCGAUUGGGGUGAAGUCGUAACAAGGUAGC
rnacentral:rRNA from 1 species